rnacentral:rRNA from 1 species
AUUGUUUAUUUUUUUUUAUUUUAUAUUUGUAAAAUAUUUUAAUUUUUUAUUGUUUUUUAAAAUGUUAAAAAUUUGUUUUUUGAACUGGAUUAGUACCCAGGUAAUCAAAAAUUAUUAAUUCGGGAGUAAAGUUUUGUUUAAACCGAAAAAAUAUUGACUGACUUUGGAUUUUUCUUUGGAACAUGUGUUUGGAGAGCCCUCCUUUUUAGUUUUCUCUUUUUACUCAUGUAUGAUUGUUUAGUUUUUAUAUUAUUUUGUGAUGCUUUAUUUGUUAUGAACAUUAAAAACAGAUAUAUACUUGGUAUAUGGGGGAAUUUUAACAUGUGUUACUAUUAUAAAUUUUUUUUGGAUAAUUUUUUAUUUUUUUUUUGAAAUUGGAAAARAAAGUAAUUAUUUUUUUAUAUAAUAAUGAAUUU